UAACUCUUGUAAGCUAUGUAAGCUAUUAAGUUCAUACCUUAAAAAAGGACUAGUCCCGUGAGUGUUUGUUUUCUCCGAAAUGCACCCACGAGUACAAGACCAUGGAAAUUAUUCCAGAUUUGCAAUUUUAUAAUUAUAGAAUAACAUACACAGCGAGGCCAAAUGCGUGCCAGCAACCGCGGAUAUACGCACAGCGCAAGAUGAAAUAAACGUCAUAAAUUUAUCGCAAGCGAGUUAAUAUAUAUAAAACGAAUAAACUGCGGUUAUGAAGGAGGCUAGAUAGCUCCGUAAUACAGUUAAAUCAUAUUGAGCAGUUAAAAACUUAGAAAACCUGGCAGAAGCUUAUAAAAAAGGCUCUUUGAAGUAUAGAUAACCCGCUAUGUUGCUAAAGAUUUAAAAUAGUGUAUUGCUGAUACGGCACUCUUACCGGAGGGCCGAAUCCUCAAGCCUUAAUGCUUUUUCUUAGUUUUUGUUUGAGAGAUUAAAGAUUUUAUAGUAUAAAAUUUUUUACAGAAUAUACCUCGCUUUGUACAUAUUGCCCGUCACCUCGUUGCCAUUAAUGAGAAAGUCGACACAUAGUAGGUGUAGUGGAAAUUGCACCUCCGAGGUGCUGCAA
rnacentral:rRNA from 1 species